UGAUGUUAAAAAUACACGAUGGAUACUUAAAUAUUGAUGUUUACCUUUUUUAUUUUGAUAUUUUAUGGUGUAGAUUAACCUAAGUUAAUAUAACAAUCAAAACAGUAGGGCAUGGAAUGGCAGAUCAACAUUGUUAAUUUUCGGAUAAACUUUCUGGAUUUUGCCAAGUGAAGAACUCCAAUGAUAUACAUGUAGGGGCAUGUGUCCAAAGCUGAUCCACAUCAUAACAUACUGAUUGGGAAUAAUGACAUAGUACCAAAAGAUGUGCUUAUACUGUAAUUAGCAGAUCUUCACAAAUGAACCUGGCAGAUCCUGGUGCAACCUUACCUUACCAUGUUUACAUCUAACCGUCAGUUUGAGCUGUGUGAGGGUGGUAACACGGACUAUAUACAUGUAUUGCCCAGUAAUUGUCUUGUGAUGGACCUUUUUAACAUAUCAAGUAUUUAAUUGAAGACUUAAGAGUACGGUAGCCAGGUGCCUGUGUAUUGAGCUGACAAGAUAGGGAUCAUCACAGCAGGUUGCUAAUACACAGUGUAGACUUCCCCUGUUUUAUUAUUGUAUUUGUUAUUUACCUGAUUGGAAUAAAUGAGGUGUAUUCAAUCGGG